rnacentral:lncRNA from 1 species
CAUGUGAAACAAGAGACUCAAUAACUUGGAUAUCUCUGGUCACAGUAGCCACAUUUUGUAUAAUAUUAAAGAUAUAAGACUGGGCUAGAAAAACCUCAGAAUUUCAGAGAAGACCCCAGGUCCCACGAUCUCUGAACAGCGUUCUGCUUAAGCACAUAAUAACAAACUCUUCAUUGUUGGUAUGACAACAGCCCCACCCUUCCCACUUGAAGCCUACUUCUUCCUUCAGAGCUUGAGUGUGUUGACAUAACUUGUGGCUACUCCUGGUUUCAGAAGGCACUAAGCAACAGAAGAUCUAUCACUGAUGUGAACAGGAGAAAAUUCUUAAGACGUUCACUAAGUAAACUGGCACUUCUACUGCAAAAUUGAAUGUUACCCUGAGAUGCUUCAGAUAUUCUGAAUGGUAACAUAUGGUCUUUGUAAUUGGAUUCCCUCAUUUGCAUAAUGUUUUCAAGAUCAGCUAUUAUUGUAUGUGCUUAUUUUGGAUGACUUCGGCAAGAAUUGCUUCUCUUGAGGUUUCUAGCAAAUGCAGCAAUCAAACUGUGGUCCAGAGUGACGAACUGACCGGUUGUCUUAAGGAAGCUUCGGGAACACGGGGCAAGCCUUGCCUUGUUGAAUCAGUGAUAUGAUACAGAGGAAGAGGAGCCCCACCCCCACCCCAGCUCUUCAGUGACAGUCACAACCCCACUGCCAGGAUCAAGAACAGAAGCCACAUCUGAUUUUUGUAAUCCCAAAUGCUAAACCUAAGUUCCCCAGAUGUGUCUCAACUCUACGUGAAAUUUGUUCUUCUCAAAUAUGGUCAUUAAAGAAAGACUGGAACUGUUCAAAGCAAGGAGUCCCAAGCCCUGAAGACAGCUUGAAAACAAAGAAGGAAGUCAUGUUUGGCCACAACCAAAAGAACUCACAUACCAAAUGGUUUAAGUUCAACUUGAAAAGGCCACACCAUGGGGCUCGGAUGGUCGCAACAUGGCAACAUAUGUUCUCUGCCCUUGGAGAAAAAGGAGAUCUUACACUGAAAAAGCUCAAGGCCAGUUUUCAACGUGACUACAUGAUCCUGUCAUGCCUGGAGGAAGGUAUCUGAAGAUCGAUUUUACCAGCAUCCCUCUCUGAUGGAGUUUGAAUGACCCUUGGGUGAUUAAUCGCAGCAACUUACAUUUGGAUAUUUUCCAAAUGCUUUCCAGUUUGUUAUCUCUCAUGACCCUUGCAACCACCUCCACAAGAAGAUAAGACAGGUAUUAAUAUGGCUGUUUGACAAGAAGAUAACCAGUUGAAGAGAAUUUAACUAACUGCCCUUCAGGUAAUAGACGUAGUUAAUUGAUAAGGAGGUAGAUGCCCGUGCACAGACAAAAGAGUAUAACUCUGCCCAAGGGCCUUCAGAGGGUUGUUGCAAAAUGGCAGGAAAACUACCCCAGAGUCCAGGGUGUGUAGGAAACUUGACUGAGUUUCCAUGCCAGGCAGGGAGCACCAAGACCUUCCAUUACCUGAUUCUGAGGCUCCUUACCAAUACCUACUGAUUCCUCAACUAAUUAAUUCCCUUCUUCCACUGUGGGCCACGAAUAAACGCAAAUGUCCAAUCCCUGUGUGCUUCAUUCCAAGGUGUGUCAUGGUA